CGUAGGUCCCGAGCGUUGUCCGGAUUUAUUGGGCGUAAAGCGAGCGCAGGCGGUUUAAUAAGUCUGAAGUUAAAGGCAGUGGCUUAACCAUUGUUCGCUUUGGAAACUGUUAAACUUGAGUGCAGAAGGGGAGAGUGGAAUUCCAUGUGUAGCGGUGAAAUGCGUAGAUAUAUGGAGGAACACCGGUGGCGAAAGCGGCUCUCUGGUCUGUAACUGACGCUGAGGCUCGAAAGCGUGGGGAGCGAAACAGGAUU
rnacentral:rRNA from 1 species